CGGUCACUAUCUAAGAGGUUGUUCUAUUCUAACUAACUUGCAGCUUUACGAUCACAGUGUUGCAGGUUAGUGCUGCGUUGGUCAAAGUCUCGCAUGUCUGCGCAGGUAUUUCUUGCUCUUCGUUCCAUCCAACCAUCUUUGAUAAUGUUGAAGGAUGACUUGCCUCUUUAGUUGUCUUUCUUUGUUCUGCGCUGAUAAACGUG
rnacentral:lncRNA from 1 species